ensembl:lncRNA
GUGUGCCUGCGUGCGUGUGCGUAAAUAUCAGUAAAAAUGACCUCUCUACCCCCCCAUAACGGAGGGGCGGAGGUGGAUGAGAGAGAGGAGGGGGAGGAGAGAGACAUAACACCAGGCAGUAGGGGGGUGAGAGAGAGGAGGGAGAGGAGAGAGACAUAGGACCAGGCAGUAGGGAGGUGAGAGAGAGGAGGGAGAGGAGAGAGACAUAAGACCAGGCAGUAGGUGGAUGAGAGAGAGGAGGUGGAUGAGAGAGAGGAGGGGGUGAGAGAGACAUAACACCAGGCAGUAGUUGGAUGAGAGACAGGAGGGGGAGGAGAGAGACAUAACACCAGGCAGUAGGUGGAUGAGAGAGAGGAGGGGGAGGAGAGAGACAUAACACCAGGCAGUAGGUGGAUGAGAGAAAGGAGGGGGAGGAGAGAGACAUAACACCAGGCAGUAGGGGGGUGAGAGAGAGGAGGGAGAGGAGAGAGAGGAGGGGG